rnacentral:miRNA from 17 species
CAGGUGGAUCACUCUGCAAUUUU